CCGACAUCACCGUCACCAGCCAAUCUGAUGAACGCAACCUCGAUGGCAGCAGCCAAUGGAGCUACGCCCAGUCUGACUACACCACUCGUGAAGAGUCCCAGGCCCAAAAGAAGAUGCAAGAAGUCGCCUACGAUUCUUACGGCAAGGCUACCUACGAGGACGUUAUGGGAAACACCAACAAGGGAUCCUCUUACUGGGUUUCCCCUGAAGGUCAGAAAUUCACUUUAACCUGGACCGCUGAUGAUGCUGGAUUCUAGCCCAAAGGUGACCACUUGCCCGUCGCCCCCGUCCAUGAAUACUCAACACGAGAUUACAACGUUCUCAGACCCAUUUUACCUCAAUUUUGUAGGAGACGUCAAUAACAUCGCAAAAAUGCAAAUAGGAUGGUGUCAUUGUAGGGACGACGAUUGGGAACACUUGAGGUGCUUCUUGGAACACUCUUCCGCGCCGUUUCUGUUGUCUGUUCACACAAAACGCGUUCGUAGGUUUUGGAUUUGUUGUGGGUAUGAAAAUCAACGCUCUUCAGGACACCAAAGGUUUUUAAAUAAACAAAAACUACCUCAAUGAGAAAAACCGUUGCACCAAGCAAUGUUGUCAUGCUUUGGUUGUCUACAUCAGCAUGCAAGUAAAUGGUUUCACCUGCGACAUAUCUAGAUACAGUGUUACCGUAAUAAGUUCAGAUCGGCAGCAAAACCAACGGAAAACGGACUUGGUUUUUAUUGAUUGUGUUGGUAGCUAUCAAUAAAAUUUAAAAGAUGGUGA